UACGUAGGGGGCGAGCGUUGUCCGGAUUUAUUGGGCGUAAAGAGCUCGUAGGCGGUUUGGAUAGUCAAUUGUGAAAUCUCCCGGCUUAACCGGGAGCGGUCAGUUGAUACUUCCAUGACUUGAGUUCGGUAGAGGAGUGUGGAAUUCCUGGUGUAGCGGUGAAAUGCGCAGAUAUCAGGAGGAACACCCAUUGCGAAGGCAGCACUCUGGGCCGAUACUGACGCUGAGGAGCGAAAGCGUGGGGAGCGAACAGG
rnacentral:rRNA from 1 species